rnacentral:rRNA from 1 species
GAUGAACGCUGACAGAAUGCUUAACACAUGCAAGUCGAUGGGACAGUGGUGCUUGCACCUUGUUAACCAUUGCGGACGGAUGGGUAACGCGUACGUAACUUGCCUGCCGGACUGGGAUAGCAGCCUGAAGCUGCUGAUAAUACCUAAUGGGUUCCUUAAGCUACCUAACUUAGUGAUGAAAGGAGACGCCUUCGGAGUGCCUUGCGUCCUAUUAGCUAGUUGGAAGGGUAACGGCCCAACAAGGCGAAGAUAGGUAGCCGGCCUGAGAGGGGGGACGGCCACAAGGGGAAUGAGAUACGGCACUUACGAAUAUGGGAGGCAGCAGUGGGGAAUAAUGGACAAUGGGGGCAACAGUGAUCAAGCAAUUCUGUGUGUACGAAGAUGGUUUUAGGAUAGAAAAGUGGUGUCAGCAGCGAAGAAGGAAGUGACGGUACCUGAAGAAGAAGCGACGGCUAAAUACGUG